rnacentral:rRNA from 1 species
UACGAAGGGUGCAAGCGUUACUCGGAAUUACUGGGCGUAAAGCGUGCGUAGGUGGUUCGUUAAGUCUGAUGUGAAAGCCCUGGGCUCAACCUGGGAAUGGCAUUGGAUACUGGCGAUCUAGAGUGCGGUAGAGGGCAGUGGAAUUCCCGGUGUAGCAGUGAAAUGCGUAGAGAUCGGGAGGAACAUCUGUGGCGAAGGCGACUGCCCGGACCAGCACUGACACUGAGGCACGAAAGCGUGGGGAGCAAACAGG